rnacentral:lncRNA from 10 species
AAGUUAAACGUUGGAAGUUCUCCACUUAAUAAGGAAAGAAAAAAAAAUUGUAGGGUGAGGUUGCUAAGGUCUAUGAUAAGAACAAAUGUAUGUGUGAAAUUGUGAAGAAGGAAAAAAGUAUAUGCAUAGUAUGUAUAGGGUUUGGUUUAGGCAUCCACUGGGGGUCUUGACAGGUAUCCCCCGCUAUCGAUGGGGGGAUUUUCAUUUUGUGAGUUUUAGCUGCAUCCUGUUCCUAUUUCCUUUGGUGGUACUUUGCACAUUGACAUUUUUUAUUGAGAUUUUACCAUACAACCUAAUUUCCAUUUCUCUAUCUCAUGUUGCCAUUAGAGUAAUUAGUCAAAGGCUGGGCUUGGUGGCUUACACCUGUAAUCCCAACACAUUGAGAGGCUGAGGCCGAGGAGGGAGGAUUGCUUGAGGCCAGGAGUUUGAGACCAACGUGAGCAACAUAAUGAGACCCUUGUCUACUAAAAGUAAAAAUAAAUUAGCUAGGCAUGCAUAAUGGCAAGUGCCUGUAAUCCCAGCUACUUGGGAGGCUGAGGUGGGAGGAUCGAUUGAGUCCAGGAGGUUGAGGUGGCAGUAAGCUAUGAUAGCAUCCGUGCACUCCAGCCUGGGUGACAGAGCAAAGCCUUGUCUCUAAAAAAAUUGUUUUAAUUAAAGAGUUGUUAGCCAAGUGUGCAAAGCAACUGUUUGUAACCAAUUCCUUGCUUUUGAGUAAACAUAAGCAUUUAUUGGUACUUCCUGAGUACCAACCCUCAUACUAGAUGCCUUAUGUACUUUGUUUCUAAUCCCCAGAACAAAUAUGUGAUAGAUGUUCUUAUUCACACAAACAGCAGAAGAAGCAGCAUCAAUAAGUACCUCCAUCAUUGGGAUUGGAAGCAGUAUAGCUCUUGGAAGUUGAACUAAUUCUUUAUUGUAUUUUCACUUAUAGAAUAAUUGAGGGAUUUAAUUUUCUAUUUUAAAUGUUAUAGCCUCAUAGUAAGGAUUUAUGUUUUAUUUUGGAAUCAUAUUUGCUUUACAAAAAAUAUAGAAAUAUUAAAAAACAACCACUUCACAAUUACUGGGAUGGCUGUAAUAAAAAAGACAGGGAAUAACAAGUAUUGGUGAGGAUGUGGAGAAACUGGAACCCUCAUACAUUGCUGGUAGGAAUGUAAAACGGUGCAGCUGCUCUGUAAAACCACAGUCUGGCAGUGUCUCAAAAGUUAAAUGUACAGUUACCAUAUGACCCAGAAAUUCCACUCCUAGGUAUAUACCCAAGAGAAAUAAAAACGUAUCCACACAAAAACUUGUGCAUAAAUGUUCAUGACAGCCUUAUUCACCAGAGCCGAAAAGUGGAAACAAGGCAAAUGGCCAUCACCUGAUAAAUGAACAAACAAUAUGUAAUAUAUUCAUGCAAUGUAAUAGUAUUUGGCAACAAAAAGAAAUGCUGUGCGAUGAACCUCAAAAACACUCUACGUGAAAAAAGCCAGUUACAGAAAAACACAAAUUGUAUAAUCCCAUUUAUAUGAAAUGUUCAGAAGAGGCAAAUCUACAGAGACAAAAAGUAGAUCGGUAGCUGCUCAGAGCUAAGGAAGGCGAAAGGAAUUUGGAAGGAGGUGGGUGUCAGAGGAAAAUCGUGCUACACAGUUGAACAGGCAAGGAAGACUUUUCUAAGACUUAAAAUAAGGGGAGAGAUCAAACUCAAGUCUGCUGAAACAAAAGGUCAGCAGGUUUGGAAGUGCUGGGUGAGCUAGUGGAAAAGUCCUGGAGGACAUAGAAGGGGAGGUUGGUCAGUGUAAUUAGGCCAACUGUGCUUGCUAAUUUGUACUUAGUGAAGUUAGGCUCCUACCCUUCCACAGAGACUAGGAGAUAGGGGCACCAGCUUACUUGAUUACAUUUGAAGGAAUGGCUCUAGGUCCUUGAGAAAGAGAUACUUGGGUUAUUAAACUGGCAAGAAGCUGGAAGAGGAUCUAUCUUCAUUUCAAAGGAGCAAAUAAUUUUCAAUUACAAGUUUUCUAAAGUAAAUGCUCUAAGAACAGGGAGGUCAGGGACCUAUAAUCAGGAAGGAACUUGUCUAUAGGCUAGUCAACCUGAGGGGAAUAAUAAUACUGUCUUUGCCAAUGGAUACAAAGUUUAUUUUUGAUAUGAUGAAAAUGUUCUAAAAUUAGAUCAAAUGAAUGUUGUAAAACUCUGUAAAUGUACUAAAAACCAUUACAUUGUACACCCUAAAUGGGUCAGCUUUGUGGUAUGUAAAUUAUAGCUCAAUAAAGCUGUGUUUAAAAGAUCAG